GAAAAAACCCUAGCAAGAUCAUCCAUCUGCUGAAGGAUAGGCAUAAUACUUGAUAUAUGACUUGCUCUAGAGUUACCAUAGAUUCAGCAGCACUUGUGAGUCAGAUUCCAGGUUGACAAACUGCAAGUUCAGAUUUGCAAAGAACCUCUCUAACCUAAACAAAGCCAAGAAUCACACGCCACCAGAAGGUUCAAAUUUUGGGUGGAAUUUUCAUCUUCCACAAUCGUCUCCAAACUGGAUUUUCAUCCACAAAAGAGGUGCAAUGCUCAUAUGUUGCUAUGGAAUAUUGGGUUGUACUAAUCAUCCAGUCAAUAUUGGGUUGUAGGCUAGAAGCACAAUGCUACUCACCUUAGUACAAAAUUACAAAUCACCGAUACACAGUAAGACAGCCAGACAGGACAAAAAUCAGAAUACUGGUUGCACAAAUGAGAGUGUCGAUGGAAAUCAAAUUACAUCUCUAGAUUUACCACAUCAAAAUUACGGAUUCAA